GAACAGUCUGACACUAAUAUAAUGGACAUGUGUGAAGAAACUAAAAGUGGGUUGAUAUGAGUGAUGCAGUAUGAUCAAAGAUGGAAAGAGUAACCAGUUACUUAAAAAUUCUUGGGAAUCCCAAGAAUGUCUUUGGAUGCGUCCACAGGUCCAUAAUGCAUGAAUGUGCCAUUUCAACCAUCCCUAUGCUGCAGCAAAGGUCUCAAGUACGUUGCAGGUCAGUGGCCUUUUCCACAUGUACAGUCUCUUCAUACAUGGUAAAUUAAGAGUGCUCAGAAUCCCUUGGACUUAACAAAUCUGAAAAGAAAGGUGGAACAUAUUCCUUCAGCUCAGGAAAAAAUCCGAAACAACCCAAAACUAAAAAAAUAAAACAAAACAAAAAAAACCAACAAAAA